rnacentral:rRNA from 1 species
CAGGAUGAACGCUAGCUACAGGCUUAACACAUGCAAGUCGAGGGUAACGUGCGGAAGCUUGCUCUGCAGACGACGACCGGCGCACGGGUGAGUAACGCGUAUCCAACCUGCCCCAUGCUCUGGGAUAACCUUCCGAAAGGGAGCCUAAUACCGGAUGCAGUGCGACGAUGGCAUCAGAAUUGCACGAAAGAUUCAUCGGCAUGGGAUGGGGAUGCGUCUGAUUAGCUUGUUGGCGGGGUAACGGCCCACCAAGGCUACGAUCAGUAGGGUUCUGAGAGGAAGGUCCCCCACACUGGUACUGAGACACGGACCAGACUCCUACGGGAGGCAGCAGUGAGGAAUAUUGGUCAAUGGGCGGGAGCCUGAACCAGCCAAGUAGCCGUGCAGGACGACGGCCCUACGGGUUGUAAACUGCUUUUAUGAGGGGAUAAAGUGGGCUACGUGUAGCUUAUUGCAGGUACCUCAUGAAUAAGGACCGGCUAAUUCCGUGCCAGCCGCCGC